rnacentral:rRNA from 1 species
ACGGAGGGUGCGAGCGUUAAUCGGAAUUACUGGGCGUAAAGCGCGCGUAGGCGGUUUGUUAAGUCGGAUGUGAAAGCCCCGGGCUCAACCUGGGAAUUGCACCCGAUACUGGGCGACUAGAGUACGGAAGAGGGGGGUGGAAUUCCAGGUGUAGCGGUGAAAUGCGUAGAGAUAUGGAGGAACACCAGUGGCGAAGGCGGCCCCCUGGAUCGAUACUGACGCUGAGGUGCGAAAGCGUGGGGAGCAAACAG